CCCAGCGCUGAAGCGCUGGGCUAAGUUAUUCGGCCCCUACGGGGCC
rnacentral:sRNA from 1 species